UACGUAGCAGCGAGCGUUGUUCGGAGUUACUGGGCGUAAAGGGUGUGUAGGCGGUUGUUUAAGUUUGGUGUGAAAUCUCCCGGCUCAACUGGGAGGGUGCGCCGAAUACUGAGGGACUAGAGUACGGGAGAGGAAAGUGGAAUUCCUGGUGUAGCGGUGAAAUGCGUAGAUAUCAGGAGGAACACCGGUGGUGUAGACGGCUUUCUGGACCGACACUGACGUGAGACACGAAAGCGUGGGUAGCAAACAGG
rnacentral:rRNA from 1 species